UACGGAGGGGGCAAGCGUUGUUCGGAUUUACUGGGCGUAAAGGGUCCGUAGGCGGUUGUGUAAGUCUGGUGUGAAAUCUUCGCCGCUUAACGGGAAGCAGCCACUGGAAACUGCAUAACUUGAGUCUGGUAGAGGCAAGCGGAAUUCCUGGUGUAGCGGUGGAAUGUGUAGAGAUCGGGAAGAACAUCAGUGGCGAAGGCGGCCUGCUGGGCUGUUGCUGACGCUGAGGCGCGACAGCGUGGGGAGCAAACAGG
rnacentral:rRNA from 1 species